GGGAUGUUGACCCAGAAACCGGGAAAGGGAAUAACAAUAGAAAUGUAAAUAAGAAAUACUUAAGUUAAUAAAGGUAAAAAAAUGGAUUAUUUGUUCCUGACUUAUCUUGGGUACCUGGUAUCUGUGUAGGAAAUUGUCCAUUUCUUCCAGAUUUUCAAGUUUUGUUGAAUACAGGCUUUUGUAGUGGAAUCUGAUGAUGUUUUUGAAUUUCCUCCGAUUCUGUAGUUAUGUCUCCCUUUUCAUUUCUGAGUUUGUUAUUUUGGACACACACUCUGUGUCCUCUUGUUAGUCUGGCUAAGGGUUUAUGUAUCUUGUUGAUUUUCUCAAAGAACCAACUUUUGGUUCUGUUGAUUCUUUGUAUAGUCCUUUUUGCUUCUACUUGGUUUAUUUUAGCUCUGAGGUUGAUUAUUUCCUGCCUUCUACUCCUCCUGGGUGUAUUUGCCUCUUUUUGUUCUAGAGCUUUUAGGUGUGCUGUCGAGCUGCUGAUAUAUGUAUGCUCUCUCCUGUUUCUUCGUGCAGGGAUUCAGACCUAUGGAUUUUCCUCUUAGCACAGCUUUCAUUGUGUCCCAUAAGUUUGGGUAUGUUGUCCUUCAUGUUCAUUAAAUUCUAAGAGGUCUUUAAUUUAUUUCUUUAUUUCUUCCUUGACCAGGUUAUCAUUGAGUAGCACAUUAUUCAACUUCCAUGUAUAUGUGGGCAUUUUUUCUCAUUGUUUUUGAAGACCAGCUUUAGCCCGUGUUGGUCUGGUAGGAUGCAUGGGAUUAUUUCUAUCUUUCUGUAUCUGUUGAGGCCUGUUUUAUGGGUCAAUUUGGAGAAAGUACCGUGAGGAGGUGAGAAAAAGGUAUAUAUUUUUGUUUUAGGAUAGAAUGUUCUAUAAAUAUCUGUUAAAUCCAUUUGGUUCAUGACUUCUCUUAGUCUAUGUCUCCAUUUCAUUUCUGUUUCCAUGAUCUGUUCACUGAUAAAAGUGCGGUGUUGAAAUCUCCUACUAAUUUUGUGUGAGGUAUAAUGUGUGCUUUGAGCUUUAGGAAGGUUUCUUUUAUGUCUGUCGAUGCCCUUGUAUUUGGAGCAUAGAUAUUUAGGAUUGAGAAUUCAUCUUGGUGGAUUUUUCCUUUGAUGUAUAUUAAGUGUCCUUCCUUAUCUUUUUUUGAUGACUUUUGGUUGUAAAUUGAAUUUAUUCAAUAUUCGUAUGGCUACUCCACCUUGCUUCUUCAGACCAUUUGCCUGGAAAGUUGUUUUCCAGCCUUUCACUAUGACGAGGUAGUGUCUGUCUUUGUCUCCGAGGUGUGUUUCCUGUAGGCAGCAAAAUGUUGUGUCCUCAUCAUGUAUCCAGUUCGUUAAUCUUUGUCUUUUUAUUUGGGAAUUGAGUCCAUUGAUGUUGAGAGAUAUUAAGGAAUAGUGAUUGUUGCUUCCUGUUAUAUUCGUGUUUGGAUGUGAGAUUAUGUUUGUGUGCUUGUCUUCUCUUUGUUUUAUUCCAAAAGACUAGCUUCUUGCUUUGUCUAGGGUGUACCUUGCAUUCUUGUCUUGGGCUUUACAAUUUAUUAUCCUUUGUAGGGCUGGAUUUGUAGAAAGAUAUUGUGUAAAUUUGGUUUUGUCAUGGAAUAUCUUGGUUACUCCAUCUAUGUUAAUUGAGAGUUUUGCUGGAUACAGUAACCUGGGCUGGCAUUUGUGUUCUCUUAGGGUCUGUAUGACAUCUGUCCAGGAUCUUCUGGCUUUCAUAGUCUCUGGUGAGAAGUCUUACUGCUUUUAAUAUUCUUUCUUUGUUUUGUGCAUUUGUUGUUUUUACUAUUAUGUGAUGGGAGGAGUUUCUUUUCUGGUCCAAUCUAUUUGGAGUUCUGUAGGCUUCUUGUAUGUUUAUGGGCAUCUCUUUCUUUAGGUUAGGUAAGGUUUCUUCUAUGAUUUUGUUCAAGAUAUUUACUCAUCCUUUGAGCUGGGAGUCUUCACUCUCUUCUAUUCCUAUUAUCCUUAUAUUUGAUCUCCUCUUUGAGUCAUGGAUUUCCUGUAUGUUCUGGGCCAGUAAUUUUUCCAUUUUCCAUUAUCUUUGAGAGUUGUGUCGAUGAUUUCUAUGGAAUCUUCUGCUCCCGAGAUUCUCUCUUCUAUCUCUUUCAUUCCAUUGGUGAUGCUUGUAUCUACGGCUCCUUGUCUCUUCCUUUGUUUUUCUAUAUCCAGGGUUGUUUCCCUGUGUCCUUUCUUUAUUGCUUCUAUUUCCAUUUUCAAUUCCCUCACCUGUUUGAUUGUAUUUUCCUGGAAUUCUUUCAGGGAAUUUUGUGCUUCCUCUCUAUAGCCUUCUGCUUGUUUAUUUGUGUUUUCCUGCAUUUCUCUAUGGGCUUCUUCAUGUCUUUCUUGAAGUCCUCCAGCAUCAUGAUCAAAUGUGAUUUUAAAUCUAGAUCUUGCUUUUCUGGUGUGUUUGGAUAUUCAGUGUUUGCUUUGGUGGGAGAAUUGGGUUCUGAUGAUGCCAUGUAGUCUUGGUUUCUGUUGCUUCGGUUUCUGCUCUUGCCUCUUGCCAUUAUGUUGUCUCUGGUGUUACCAUGUUCUGCUAUUUCUGACUGUGGUUAGACCGUCCUAUAGGCCUGUGUGUCAGGAGUGUUGUAGACCUGUUUUCCUGUUUUCUUUCAGCCAGUUGUGGGAACAGAGUGUUCUGCUUUCAGGCAUGCAGUCUUUCCUGUCUACUGGUCUUCACCUGUUCCUGUGGGCGUGUGUCUUGAGUCUACCAAGCAGGUUCAUGUCAUUAUGCAAGUGAAGGCAGACAAAAUGAAACAAGAUCUGUUAAAGAGAGCUUCAAACCAAAUUCCCUUAUGAAUAUUAAUGCAAAUCACUCAAUAAAAUUCUUGGAAACU